AUUGAACGCUGGCGGCAGGCCUAACACAUGCAAGUCGAACGAGUGGCGGACGGGUGAGUAAUGUCUGGGAAACUGCCUGAUGGAGGGGGAUAACUACUGGAAACGGUAGCUAAUACCGCAUACCAUCAGCUGUGCCCAGAGGGGAUUAGCUGGUGGGUGGGGUAACGGCUCACCAGGGCGACGAUCCCUAGCUGGUCUGAGAGGAUGACGGGCCACACGGGAACUGGGACACGGUCCAGACUCCUAGGGGAGGCAGCGGUGGGGAAUAUUGGACAAGGGGCGCAGGCCGGAUGCAGCCAUGCCGCGUGUAGGAAGAGGGCCUUCGGGUUGUAAAGUACUUUCAGCGGGGAGGCGUUACCCGCAGAAGAAGCACCGGCUAACUCCGUGCCAGCAGCCGCGGUAAUAC
rnacentral:rRNA from 1 species